rnacentral:lncRNA from 1 species
CAGCACUGAGAGCGGAAUAGAGACACAACACAGUGAGCAGAACAGGAAAAUGUUGGAAUUCUGGCUCAAUCAUGGUAGGCAAACUUCACCAAAGAACUUGGUCACUUAGCUGAGACUUCAGAAAGAAUAAGUGGUCAGAACUGUACUCUAUAGUAAAUAAUAUGCUCUAAGACCAAGAGAAAAUAAAAAAUACAUCAGCUGUAACAAAUAAUAAAUUAAACCUAAAAUGAUCAAGAAGAUCUGCUAUUAAUUAAGCUGCCUGCGAGAAGAAAAUUCAACACUAUUAAAUAAGUCAAUUCAUCACAUAUUAGGCAAAAUG